CCAAAGUAAGGACAAUUUUUCCCAAGUGAUUGAGUGGAGCAGCAAAUGCCUGUGAAAAUAGUAGAUAUAAAAAUAUCAGCAAGAGCCAAAAUUACAAGACUGUUUCUGAAAAUAUUCCGAAAGAAUGUUUAGAAAACAUCUUUUUCCAGGUAGACAGAGAGUUUGUGAGGCUGCAUCAUUGGCAUCAUUUUAUCAUCACCAUCCCGCUCAGGAGCUCAAGAAGAGGGGAACUGAGUCAGUUAGAAUUACAGAGGAACAUGAGGACAUGAGCAAUAGAGGAAACCUGGAGGAAGAGGGUGUGGCAUGUUGAAAUUUAAAAAGAAGCAAUGUGUAUUUGCAAGUCAAACCAAUAUAAUAAAACCAGUGGUUAUUUUUUAAUGUUUUCAAUCAUUGGAAUAUACAUGAAUUUUCACAAUAAAGUGUGCUAAAGUAUUCAUA
rnacentral:lncRNA from 1 species